UGUGGGGCUCGAACUCACAAACUGUGAGAUCAUGACCUGGAUGAAGCUGGACACUCAACUGACUGAGCCGGCCAGACAACAGGGAGAUGCAGUCAGACCACGUGCCCAGAAAGAGAGCCAGGAUGUUUGUAGACAGCACGUCCUGCCUUACUCCACAGCUGUCUGAGCCCCCAGCCUUCAAGAGCCCCUGGAAGUGCUAUCCAGCUGACAGUCCCCUCCUCAGUUCACUCCCACCCCAGGCUGCUUGCUGCUCUAAGAGCCCCUUGCACAGGGACUGCUGGAUUUGCCCACUAAGACUUGAGCCCCAGGAGUGGCCACACUUGGUCUAGACUUUCUUACAUGCCCCUGCUGUCCCCAGGCUUCUCUGCUCCAGGGGCCAGCUCCUCUGCCACCAGCUCUCUGCCAGGACCACCUUCGUCUCACCAGUGCCGACUGCUCAGGACCAAAGAGUUUCUCCUUGUCCAGCAGGUGCCACAGAGCCAAGCGCCAUAUUUAUGACUCUUCUGUACCCAAAAUGGAUGCCAAUCUGUACUGUAUUUUCAAUUCCAUGGAGUCUUUUCUAAUUUGGCUGACUGUGUUUUCAAGAAGCCUUGUUCCUAUUUAGUACAAGAAUUUCAGUAACAGUUACUGAAAACACAAGGCAAGUCGCUUCUAAAAAUGUUUUUAUUCCAUACCCAAAAAGAUCCACAUCGAAAGGGGAAAACUCUAUAUCUUACUCUAGAAUAUUGGGCCAUUUUUCUCCUCUUAUGUUACAUUGAUUUUCAUAGGUCUGUGUUAGUUUUUCCCUCUUUGGUUAUCCUUUUAGAGUGAGCUAUAUUCAGGGCGAGGCUGGAGACUUAAAUAUAACUCACCCAGUUCCAGGCUGGAAAGAGAGAGGAUAGUAGAUUUUCAGUUCAAUGAAUAAGCAGGCACCAUAUUUGUACAUUUUUGUGCACUUGACCUACUUUGAAGGCUUUCUGGACACCAUGAAAGAUGGAUACUUGGGGGAAAAGCUCUCUCUGAAGCACCACCUAAUCCAUUAAAUGUCCACCAGUCAAAUGGUGGUUUCUGUCCUAGGGUAGAAAUUAAAGUAUCUGCAGUGACCAGAAAUGGAACUCUGAUAGGCUGGUUGCAGUGCUGUCUUGCCAAAGAGCCCAGUGUUGGCUGCAGAGAGAGGCUGAAAAGUCAAUUCUGAGCCAUCGUUAAGGAGAUGACUUCACUUUCUCCAGAAUCUGGAGAAUGCAGAUCUCUUGCUCAUAUAUAGCAAGAACUGGCCGGGGUUCACAGUGUCCAAAUUCUUGGGUCAAAUAUGAAAAACAUGUGAUUACCCUGGAAGAAACGGAUGCCCAUUUAUUUGAGCUCCUAAAGAUAUGAAAAAAAAGAAAAAGACAUAGGAUUAAAAACAAAAGUGGAAUCCUUUCCAGGCAGACUGAGCCAAGAAAGGGGCCCAGGUCCUCCCCUUACCCAGAGCACCCUUCAGUCUUGGCAUCCUGUGCUUUGAAUCAGAGUCAUUGUCUGGCUCUAAUGCAAACACUGGCUUCAUUGUGAUUCUGCAGAGAGGCAGCCCCAAAUGCACUGCUUUCUACCCGCCUGGGGCUUCUUUGAGCUUAUCCCAUUGAGCUAUGACUCCGGCAACCGGCCAGGAGGGCCUCUAUCCAGGGUGGUGCCUUGAGAUUUCUGCUGAUUUAUUACACAAGAGCUGCCAGGUAAAUCCCUUUGCUGUCUCAUGGGAAAUGUCAAGUCAGGGGCAAAGUUUAGGUGCUGUCCAAUUGAAUCUGGGGGUUUGGGUCAGAAUGGAUGGUGGCCAGGACCUUCCUGUUUGUUAUACAUGCUUCUGAGGCUACUUGGAUGGACCUUAGACUCCCUGGAAAGUUCUAGAAAAAUUCUAGGUUCCACGAAUCAAGCGUGCUAAGGGAUUUUAUUGAAACCUAGGGAGUGAUGCAGUACACACUGAAAUGGAUGAGGUUCUGUGAACUGGACUUCUCCGUGGAGCUAAUAAAUCUGGGGAUUCCUCAGCCACAUUCCCCGGACUUCUCAUCCAUAGGUCCGUGGUUGAGCCGAGCAUUCCCAACGGGCUCUAAUGCAGGAGGGUCACGCGACAGGUUCCACUGAGAAAAACAGUGAUUUGUGGGGAUGUUGGCAAAGUAAACACUUGGAGCAGUAAAAGCGUAUGGACCAAGAAUGUGUUCCUCAGGAGCUACAAAAGGAAGACUACAUCCCGCUCCCACUGGAAGGUCGAGCCCUGCUUUGCACCUCGCCAGAUUUCCUCAGAAAGCAGGGUGCCUUGCAGACUCUAAAAAUAUGCAUUGCUCUCAGGCGAAGCUCUCCCAAAGGUCAAGGACAGUAGCAAGUAAAGGGAAGAAACCUUUCUUCUGUCAGGUGACUUCAGACUGAUGAGCUCAACUGGGAAAUCCCAGUGUGUUGUGAUAUCAAUCAGCGCCCGUCU